rnacentral:tRNA from 1 species
CAAAAUAGAACUUUGAAGUGAAGUUUUUCAUUUACAUUGAAAUUGAUUCUGUGCAAUUCGGAAUAUUUUGA